AACGAACGCUGGCGGCAGGCCUAACACAUGCAAGUCGAGCGAGGACUUCGGUUCUAGCGGCGGACGGGUGAGUAACGCGUGGGAAUGUGCCCUUCUCUACGGAAUAGCCCUGGGAAACUGGGAUUAAUACCGUAUACGCCCUAUUGGGGAAAGAUUUAUCGGGGAAGGAUCAGCCCGCGUUGGAUUAGGUAGUUGGUGGGGUAAUGGCCUACCAAGCCGACGAUCCAUAGCUGGUUUGAGAGGAUGAUCAGCCACACUGGGACUGAGACACGGCCCAGACUCCUACGGGAGGCAGCAGUGGGGAAUCUUAGACAAUGGGGGCAACCCUGAUCUAGCCAUGCCGCGUGAGUGAUGAAGGCCUUAGGGUUGUAAAGCUCUUUCAGCUGGGAAGAUAAUGACGGUACCAGCAGAAGAAGCCCCGGCUAACUCCGUG
rnacentral:rRNA from 1 species